AGUGAACGCUGGCGGUAGGCCUAACACAUGCAAGUCGAACGGCAGCACAGUAAGAGCUUGCUCUUACGGGUGGCGAGUGGCGGACGGGUGAGGAAUACAUCGGAAUCUACUUUUUCGUGGGGGAUAACGUAGGGAAACUUACGCUAAUACCGCAUACGACCUACGGGUGAAAGCAGGGGAUCUUCGGACCUUGCGCGAUUGAAUGAGCCGAUGUCGGAUUAGCUAGUUGGCGGGGUAAAGGCCCACCAAGGCGACGAUCCGUAGCUGGUCUGAGAGGAUGAUCAGCCACACUGGAACUGAGACACGGUCCAGACUCCUACGGGAGGCAGCAGUGGGGAAUAUUGGGCAAUGGGCGCAAGCCUGAUCCAGCCAGACCGCGUGGGUGAAGAAGGCCUUCGGGUUGUAAAGCCCUUUUGUUGGGAAAGAAAAGCAGCAGGUUAAUACCCCGCUGUUCUGACGGUACCCAAAGAAUAAGCACCGGCUAACUUCGUG
rnacentral:rRNA from 1 species